rnacentral:rRNA from 1 species
GAUGAACGCUAGCUAUAGGCUUAACACAUGCAAGUCGAGGGGAAACGGCAUUAUGUGCUUGCACAUUUUGGACGUCGACCGGCGCACGGGUGAGUAUCGCGUAUCCAACCUGCCCUUUACUUGGGGAUACCCCGUUGAAAGACGGCCUAAUACCCGAUGUAAUUCAUUGAUGGCAUCAGAUAUGAAUAAAAGAUUUAUCGGUAAAGGAUGGGGAUGCGUCUGAUUAGCUUGUUGGUGAGGUAACGGCUCACCAAGGCGACGAUCAGUAGGGGUUCUGAGAGGAAGGUCCCCCACAUUGGGACUGAGACACGGGCCAAACUCCUACGGGAGGCAGCAGUGAGGAAUAUUGGUCAAUGGGCGCAAGCCUGAACCAGCCAAGUAGCGUGCAGGAAGACGGCCCUAUGGGUUGUAAACUGCUUUUAUACGAGAAGAAUUUGAUGCACGUGUGCGUUAUUGCAUGUAUCGGAUGAAUAAGGACCGGCUAAUUCCGUG